rnacentral:pre_miRNA from 1 species
AGUGGGAUAGCUGGGUCAAAUGGUGAUUCCAUUCCCAGUUUUCCAAGGAUUGUCCAUACUACUUUCCAGAUUGGUUGUACCAAUUUGCAGUUCCACCAGCAAU